AUUGAACGCUGGCGGCAGGCUUAACACAUGCAAGUCGAGCGAGAGGCGGACGGGUGAGUAAUGUCUGGGAAAAUGCCUGAUGGAGGGGGAUAACUACGGGAAACGGUAGCUAAUACCGCAUACCAUCAGAGGUGCCCAGAUGGGAUUAGCUAGUAGGUGGGGUAAAGGCUCACCUAGGCGACGAUCCCUAGCUGGUCUGAGAGGAUGACCAGCCACACUGGAACUGAGACACAGUCCAGACUCCUACGGGAGGCAGCAGUGGGGAAUAUUGCACAAUGGGGGCAAGCCUGAUUCAGCCAUGCCGCGUGUGUGAAGAAGGCCUUCGGGUUGUAAAGCACUUUCAGCGAGGAGGCGUUACUCGCAGAAGAAGCACCGGCUAACUCCGUGCCAGCCGCCGCGGUAAUUC
rnacentral:rRNA from 1 species